CAGAGCCACGGUAAUACAGAGGGUGCGAGCGUUAAUCGGAUUUACUGGGCGUAAAGCGUGCGUAGGCGGCUUUUUAAGUCGGAUGUGAAAUCCCUGAGCUUAACUUAGGAAUUGCAUUCGAUACUGGGAAGCUAGAGUAUGGGAGAGGAUGGUAGAAUUCCAGGUGUAGCGGUGAAAUGCGUAGAGAUCUGGAGGAAUACCGAUGGCGAAGGCAGCCAUCUGGCCUAAUACUGACGCUGAGGUACGAAAGCAUGGGGAGCAAACAGGAUUAGAUACCCCGGUAGUCCCUGUCUCUUAUACA
rnacentral:rRNA from 1 species